CCUUACUAUAAGUGUUGUCUAGAGGCUUGGUGCCAGAAGACUCGGUAAGACCAGAAACGCAAACGUUAGUCAUCUUAAUCAGGCGUAAAGGGUAUGUAGGCAGCUUUGAAAAUUUUAAUUUUAAAAAUUUUUUUUUUCUUUUCUAGAAAAAAGAGUAGCUCUAUUUUGUACAUAAAUUAAAUAGUAAAAAUAAAAUCAAUUAAAGCUAGAAUCUAAUAGAGGAAAAACCAAAUAAUACUUAGAGUAGGGAUGAUAUCCAUAGAUACUAAGGGGAAUA
rnacentral:rRNA from 1 species